UACGGGGGGGGCAAGCGUUGUUCGGAAUUACUGGGCGUAAAGGGCGCGUAGGCGGCCCGCUAAGUCGAACGUGAAAUCCCCGAGCUCAACUCGGGAACUGCGUCCGAUACUGGCGGGCUUGAAUCCGGGAGAGGGAUGCGGAAUUCCAGGUGUAGCGGUGAAAUGCGUAGAUAUCUGGAGGAACACCGGUGGCGAAGGCGGCAUCCUGGACCGGCAUUGACGCUGAGGCGCGAAAGCGUGGGGAGCAAACAGG
rnacentral:rRNA from 1 species